rnacentral:lncRNA from 1 species
GUCUUUAGACAUGAGCCAUAAUGUUUAUUUAAUGUAUAUAUCAAAAUACUGAUAAAAUCCGUUUCCAGCUUGAUUGUAUUUGCAUUGUUGCAGACAAAGUUGUGCAAUGGUGGGCUUAUGUCACAUACUCGUAUGUAAUUCCAUGUGCCUGCAUGUACAGUACUUUGAUGCCUCAAGAGAUGCUUCAAAUGUGUAAUUAUAAAGGGCUGUUCGCAGGAGUUGGGCUGUCUGGCCUUAAAUUGCAUUGUUUUUAUGAUAUUUUAAGAUUGUAUUCAUGUGGCUGAACCAUCUUGCCAUUGCCACAAUGUCUGAUGUUCAAACAGGCUUUAAAAUCAGGUUACAAUGCAUGCUUGAAAAUAUGCAACAAUUUCAC